AUAUACUGAAAAUUAUUUCAGUUGUAACCAUCAACUGGAGUAAGAUAACUGUGCCGACAGAAAAUGGUACAUUUUAAGCUUAUUGUCUGUCACUUUGACACGCAAUGAAACCCAUGUGCCAACAGUU
ensembl:snoRNA